CCAAUUGGUAGAGGAGACAGCCUCAAAAUCUGUACAGUGUGGGUUCGAGUCCCACCGGGGGCACCGACAGGCUCGCC
rnacentral:tRNA from 1 species